CCUACGGGAGGCAGCAGUGAGGAAUAUUGGUCAAUGGCCGGAAGGCUGAACCAGCCAAGCCGCGUGAAGGACGAAGGUGCCAAGCAUUGUAAACUUCUUUUGUCAAGGGACAAAAUCAGGCUCGAGAGCCUGACCGAGGGUACUUGAAGAAAAAGCAUCGGCUAACUCCGUGCCAGCCGCCGCGGUAAUACGGCGGAUGCGAGCGUUAUCCGGAUUUAGUGGGUUUAAAGGGUGCGUAGGCGGACUGUUAAGUCAGCGGUAAAAGCCCGGGGAUCAACCCCGGCGAGACGGUGAAACUGGCUGUCUUGAGAUGUCGAGAGGUAUGCGGAAUGCGCAGUGUAGCGGUGAAAUGCUUAGAUAUUGCGCAGAACUCCGAUUGCGAAGGCAGCAUACCGGCGGCGAUCUGACGCUGAGGCACGAAAGCGUGGGUAUCGAACAGGAUUAGAUACCCCUGUAGUC
rnacentral:rRNA from 1 species